GAAGUUGUAAAAUCACUUCAUCUGAUGAGUCAACAAUCAACGUUAAGCUAGCUUCGAAAAUUACCAAUGAAUCGUAGUCAGAGUAAACGUGAAAGUUGUGCAACCUACCGUCAACUAUUUUGUUCAAACUCAGUGUAUUCUACUGAAUGUGAUCGAAAUGAUACAGGAUUAAUCUUAAUUAUCGGCUGUUUCUAUUGAACUUGCUAGAUCACCGACCCCAGCAUGGAACAAUCUCUCAUUCCAUUUGAUUUGUGGUUUCAUGUGUAUAAAAGUUCACUUGACAUGUUACUGAACUUUAUUAAUUGCAGUCUAAUAUGAAUUUUUGUUUUAUUUACAGGUUUCUAAAUUGGCAUGACUGACUAUAUGAUAAGUUAUGUCCUUCCAAGAAAAGGACUUACAGUCAACAAGAUUCUUUGUUUGCUAACCCGUUGGCUGCUACCCAUGAAUCUCCCUAUUUGUCAACAACAAAAAAAGAGGUUAAAUAUUGUGAUCAUCUACCAUCAUUAUGUUGCCUAUAAGACCAAAUGUGUGGUGUCACCGAACUUGACUCAUUCCAUCUUCUGGAUUGCUUAGGAAAGCUGAUUGGUGUUACCUGUCCAUUUAGGUAAUGACCGAGAAGAUGCGGCCUACAUGAAC